rnacentral:rRNA from 1 species
GAUGAACGCUAGCUACAGGCUUAACACAUGCAAGUCGAGGGGCAGCAUGACCUAGCAAUAGGUUGAUGGCGACCGGCGCACGGGUGAGUAACACGUAUCCAACCUGCCGAUUAUUCCGGGAUAGCCUUUCGAAAGAAAGAUUAAUACUGGAUAGCAUAACGAGAAGGCAUCUUCUUGUUAUUAAAGAAUUUCGAUAUUCGAUGGGGAUGCGUUCCAUUAGUUUGUUGGCGGGGUAACGGCCCACCAAGACAUCGAUGGAUAGGGGUUCUGAGAGGAAGGUCCCCCACAUUGGAACUGAGACACGGUCCAAACUCCUACGGGAGGCAGCAGUGAGGAAUAUUGGUCAAUGGACGAGAGUCUGAACCAGCCAAGUAGCGUGAAGGAUGACUGCCCUAUGGGUUGUAAACUUCUUUUAUAUGGGAAUAAAGUGGGCCACGUGUGGCUUUUUGUAUGUACCAUACGAAUAAGGAUCGGCUACUCCGUG